CUGCCCUUAAGCACGGCUUAUGUGUUGGGCCUCCGUCCUCCUUUGGGGGGACGGGCCCGAAAGGCAGCGGCGGCACCGCGUCCGGUCCUCGAGCGUAUGGGGCUUCGUCACCCGCUCUGUAGGUCCGGCCGGCGCCUGCCGAACACAUCAAUCUUUUUUCCA
rnacentral:misc_RNA from 1 species